rnacentral:rRNA from 1 species
ACCCGCUGAACUUAAGCAUAUCACAAAGCGGAGGAAAAGAAAAUAACAAUGAUUACCUCAGUAACGGCGAGUGAAGCGGUAUCAGUCCAAAGUUUAAAUCGUCGCAAGACGAAUUGUAAUCUAAAGCGCACGCUGGGGGCGGUAGGUGGGAGGCAUAAGUAUUUGGAACUUUACGCCAUAGAGGGUGAUAGUCCCGUAUUCGGCCUUCUGCUCCGUCCACAUCCAGAUGUCGUCAACGAGUCGAGUUGCUUGGGACUGCAGCUCUAAAUGGGAGGUAGACUUCUCCUAAGACUAAAUAUUUAUGGGAAACCGAUAGUGCACAAGUACUGUGAAGGAAAGAUGAAAAGUACUUUGAAAAAAGGGUCAAAAGAUUUGAAAUCGUUGAGAAGGAAACGGUAGAAGAGUAUUAUUCCUGCGGCGACUUUUAUCGGAUAAUUCGCGCCGGCUUCGGUCGGUCGCGUUUUGACGGCCAUUCUCACGUAGGAUUUGCAGGGUGAGGUAGGGGUUGCCGGAAUCACCGUUGGGGAGUUCCGUCGCUUGCGGCGAGCCCCGGCGGAAUGCGGCUCCCUUGCCUGAGGGGCUUUUUAGCGACCCUGCAACAAUGGCUUCUACUGCCCCGUCUCGAAACACGGACCAAGGAGUCUAACACAUAUGCGAGUUUUAGAGUGCUAAACUCAUAGGCGUAAUGAAAGUAAGUAUAAGAUGCCAAGGGCAACCUGCAGCAUCGACCCGCCGUGAUCUUCUGUGAAGGACGGAGUAAGAGCAUAUUUGUUAGGACCCGAAAGAUGGUGAACUAUGCUUGAGUAGGGUGAAGUCUGGGGAAAUCUAGAUGGAAGCUCGUAGCGAUACUGACGUGCAAAUCGUUCGUCUAACUUGAGUAUAGGGGCGAAAGACUAAUCGAACCAUCUAGUAGCUGGUUCCCUCCGAAGUUUCUCUCAGGAUAGCUGGAACAAAAGUGCAGUUUUAUCAGGUAAAGCUAAUGAUUAGAGGCCUCGGGUUCGUAAUGUUCUCGACCUAUUCUCAAACUUUAAAUUGGUAAGAUACGGUCGGUUAGCUUAAGUGAACUGAACGUGUAGAAUGCAUUGUUUCAAGUGGGCCAAUUUUGGUAAGCAGAACUGGCGAUGAGGGAUGAACCUAGCGUUGAGUUAAGGUGCCAAAAUGUACGCUCAUCAGACCCUCUAAAAGGUGUUGAUUCAUAUAGACAGCAGGGCGGUUGCCCUGGAAGUCGGAAUCCGCUAAGGAGUGUGUAACAACUCACCUGCCGAAUG